rnacentral:rRNA from 1 species
UACGUAUGGUGCAAGCGUUAUCCGGAUUUACUGGGUGUAAAGGGAGCGUAGACGGCAUAGCAAGCCAGAUGUGAAAUGUAUGGGCUUAACCCAUAGACUGCAUUUGGAACUGUUAAGCUAGAGUGUCGGAGAGGUAAGUGGAAUUCCUAGUGUAGCGGUGAAAUGCGUAGAUAUUAGGAGGAACACCGGUGGCGAAGGCGGCUUACUGGACGGCAACUGACGUUGAGGCUCGAAAGCGUGGGGAGCAAAC